AUCCUCCCCCGAACCGUUGCAGCUGCGCCAUGCAGCGCUGCUCGACUGCGGCUUCUGAUCGCAUUCCCCCCCUAUCCCCCCCCUUCCCGCCCCGCCAUGCAACGCUGCGCCAUGCAGCGCUGCACGACUGCAACUUCUGAUCGCACCUCCCCCCCCCCCCCCCAUGCACCGUUGCAGCUGCGCACGAUGCCGGCGGAGGAGCUGCAGCGGGCGCUGCGCAGCCUGGAGACGCGUUACCAGCAGUUCGUGCAGCACGGCGCCCAGGCGCGCUGCUUCGACGACGACGACCGCGCGCAGCUGCAGCGCGACUACGGCGCCUGCACCCAGCAGUACCAGCUGCUGCUGCAAGCCCAGGAGAAAGGCGAGCAGGAGGAGUCGCUGCGGCGCAGCUGCAUCUCGCAGCUGAAGGACAUCCGCCUGCAGCUGGAGAGCUGCGAGAGCCGCACCGUGCACAAGCUGCGCCUGCCCCUCGACAAGGAGCCGGCCGCCGAGUGCAAGCAGCGCAUGGCCGAGCAGGAGGUGGGUGCUGGCUGCAGCGCGCGGCCGUGAGGUGCCGUGCGGUGGGGCACGGCCUGGGGUUGCUGCUGCGCCGUGCAGUGCUGCAUGUCCUAGUGUUAGUGCAGUGCAGUGCUGCAUGGCCCGGGGUCGCUGCUGCAUUGUGCAGUGCUGCAUGUCCCAGUGUCUGUGCUUUGCAGUGCUGCAUGGCUUGGGGGCACCGCUGCACUGGCUUGCAGCGUUGUGCAGUGCUGCGUGUCCCAGGGUCAGAGUUGUGCAGUGCAGUGCUGCGUGUCCAGGUGUCACUGCUGCAUUGUGCAGUGCUGCAUGUCCUGGUGUCGUUGCUUUGUGGUGCAAUGCAGUGCAGUGUUGCAUGUCCCGGGGUCAGAGCUGCAUUAUGCAGUGCUGCAUGUCCUGGUGUUGUUGCUUUGUGGUGCAAUGCAGGGCGAUGCAGUGCAGUGCUGCAUGUCCCAGUGCCGCAGCUGCAUUGUGCAGUGCUGCAUGUCCUGGUGUUGUUGCUUUGUGGUGCAGUGCAGCGCAGGGCUGAAUGUCCCAGUGUCAGAGUUGUGCAGUGCAAUGCAGUGUUGCAUGUCCCGGGGUCAGAGCUGCGCUGCGCAGUGCUGCAUGUCCAGGUGUCAGUGCUUUGUGAUGCAGUGCAGCGCAGUGCUGCAUGUCCCAGUGCUGCAGCUGCAUUGUGCAGUGCUGCGUGUCCCAGUGUUAGUGCAGUGCAGUGCUGCAUGGCCCGGGGUCGCUGCUGCAUUGUGCAGUGCUGCAUGUCCAGGUGUCAGUGCUUUGCAGCGCUGCAUGGCCUGGGAGCACCGCUGCGCUGCCAUGCAGCAUUGUGCAGUGCUGCGUGUCCCAGGGUCAGAGUUGUGCAGUGCAGUGUUGCAUGUCCCGGGGUCAGAGCUGCAUUGUGCAGUGCUGCACGUCCUGGUGUCGUUGCUUUGUGGUGCAAUGCAGUGCAGUGUUGCAUGUCCCGGGGUCAGAGCUGCAUUGUGCAGUGCUGCGUGUCCUGGUGGUGUUGCUUUGUGGUGCAAUGCAGUGCAGGGCUGCAUGUCCCGGGGUCAGAGCUGCGCUGUGCAGUGCUGCAUGUCCUGGUGUUGUUGCUUUGUGGUGCAAUGCAGUGCAGGGCUGCAUGUCCCGGGGUUGCUGCUGCAUUGUGCAGUCCUGCAUGUCCUGGUGUUGUUGCUUUGUGGUGCAAUGCAGUGCAGGGCUGCAUGUCCCAGUGUCAGUGCAGUGCAGUGCUGCUCGUCCCAGUGCCGCAGCUGCGUUGUGCAGUGCUGCGUGUCCUGGUGUCAGUGCUACAUUGUGCAGUGCUGCAUGUCCCGGUGUCAGUGCUUUGUGGUGCAGUGCCGUGCAGUGCUGCAUGUCCUGGGGCCACAGCUGCAUUGUGCAGUGCUGCAUGUGCCAGUGCAGUGCAGUGCUGCGUGUCCUGGUGUCACUGCUGCAUUGUGCAGUGCUGCAUGUCCAGGUGUCAGUGCUUUGUGGUGCAAUGCAGUGCAGGGCUGCAUCUCCCAGUGCCAGGGCUUUGCAGUGCAAUGCAGUGCAGUGCUGCAUGUCCCAGUGCCGCAGCUGCACUGUGCAGUGCUGCAUGGCCUGGGGUCACUGUUGCGCUGGCAUGCGGUGUUGUGCAGUGCCGCGUGUCCCAGAGUCAGAGCUGUGCAGUGCAAUGCAGUGCAGUGCUGCACGUCCCUGUGACACUGCUGUGCUGUGCAGUGCUGCAUGGCCCGGGGUCGCUGCUGCGCCGUGCAGCGCUGCAUCUCCCAGUGCCAGUGCUUUGUGAUGCAGUGCAGUGCAGGGCUGCAUCUCCCAGUGUCCGUGCUUUGCAGUGCUGCAUGGCCUGGGGGCAGUGCUGCGCUGGCAUGCAGCGUUGUGCAGUGCUGCAUGUCCCAGUGUCAGUGCUGUGCAGUGCAGUGCAGUGCUGCAUGUCCCAGUGCCCAUGCUUUGCAGUGCAGUGCAGUGCUGCAUGUCCCAGUGUCCAUGCUUUGCAGUGCUGCAUGGCCUGGGGGCACCGCUGCGCUGGCAUGCCCGUGUUUUGCAGUGCAAUGCUGUGCAGUGCAACGUGUCCCAGUGCCAGAGUUGUGCAAUGCAGUGCAGUGCUGCGUGUCCUGGGAUCAGAGCUGUGCAGUGCAGUGCAGUGCAGUGCAGUGCUGCGUGUCCUGGUGUCACUGCUGCAUUGUGCAGCGCUGCAUGUCCAGGUGUCAGUGCUUUGCAGCGCUGCAUGGCCUGGGAGCACCACUGCGCUGGCGUGCAGCGUUGUGCAGUGCUGCAUGUACCAGCUUCAGCGCUUUGCCGUGCAGUGCCAUGCAGCGCAGUGCUGUUCCGUGCCGUGCCGUGCCAUGCAGUGCUGUGCCAUGCCAUGCAGUGCUAUGCAUUGCCAUGCAGCGCCAUGCAGUGCCGUGCAGUGCCGUGCAGCGCCAUGCAGUGCCGUGCAGCGCCAUGCAGCACCAUGCCAUGCAGUGCCAUGCAGUGCAGUGCUGUGCUGUGCCAUGCAGCGCCGUGCAGUGCCAUGCAGCACCAUGCCAUGCAGCGCCAUGCCAUGCAGCGCCAUGCAGUGCCAUGCAUUGCCAUGCAGCGCCAUGCAGUGCCAUGCCAUGCAGUGCCAUGCAGUGCAGUGCUGUGCCGUGCCAUGCAGCGCCGUGCAGUGCCAUGCAGUGCCGUGCCAUGCA
ensembl:lncRNA